GAAGAAGAUACUAAGGGCGCACGGCGGAUGCCUUGGCACAGGAAGUCGAAGAAGGACGCGGCAAGCUGCGAUAAGCUCCGGGGAGGCGCAAACGGCCUUCGAUCCGGAGAUCUCCGAAUGGGGGAACCCAGCAGGGGUCAUGCCCUGCUACCCGCGCCUGAAUGAAAUAGGGCGCGAGGAGGCAACCCGGGGAACUGAAACAUCUAAGUACCCGGAGGAAGAGAAAUCAACCGAGAUUGCGGGAGUAGCGGCGAGCGAAACCGCACCAGCCCAAACCCAUGCACGUGCAAGCUUGAGGGCGUUGCUGCAUGAGGGGUUGUGGGACCGCGCAUUCCAUGGGCCUCAGACCAUGGACGCAGUUACAAAUCCGCGCGGAAGCGGAACGGCCUGGGAAGGCCGGCGGAACAGGGUGAGAGCCCCGUACGCGAAUCCGCGCGGACUGCGAGUGCGGCACCCGAGUAGCGCCGGGCACGUGAAACCCGGUGCGAACCUGGGGGGACCACCCUCCAAGGCUGAACACUCUCCUGUGACCGAUAGCGAACCAGUACCGUGAGGGAAAGGUGAAAAGCACCCCGAGAGGGGAGUGAAACAGUACCUGAAACCGUGCGCCUACAAGCAGUCGGAGCCCCCGAGCGGGGUGACGGCGUGCCUUUUGUAGAAUGAGCCAGCGAGUUGCGGUAUGCGGCGAGGUUAAGGUUUGAACCGAGCCGCAGUGAAAGCGAGCCUUUAAGAUGGCGAUAGAGUCGCAUGCUGCAGACGCGAAGCCGGGUGAGCUAUCCAUGGGCAGGCUGAAGCGGGGGUAAGACCCCGUGGAGGGCCGAACCCACUUCGGUUGAAAACGGAGGGGAUGACCCGUGGAUAGGGGUGAAAGGCCAAUCAAACCCGGAGAUAUCUCGUUCUCCCCGAAAUAGCUUUAGGGCUAGCCUCGGCCGUUCUCCGACGGCGGUAGAGCACUGGAUCGUCGAGGGGGCUUCACCGCCUACCGACACGAACCAAACUCCGAAUGCCGCCGGAUCAGAGGCCGGGAGUCAGAACAUGUGGGCUAAGCUGUGUGUUCGAGAGGGAAACAGCCCAGACCGCCCGCUAAGGUCCCCAAGUUUAUGCUGAGUGGCAAAGGAUGUGCGUUUGCCUAGACAACCAGGAUGUUGGCUUAGAAGCAGCCAUGCAUUUAAAGAGUGCGUAACAGCUCACUGGUCAAGUGGACAUGCGCCGACAAUUCACGGGGCUAAGCAUAACACCGAAGCGGCGGACUAAUCUAUAUUAGUGGUAGGGGAGCUUUCCCCGCAGCGGAGAAGCCGAGAGGGCGACCCUCGGUGGAGCGCGGGGAAGUGAGAAUGCUGGCAUGAGUAACGAGAGCGGCGCGAGAAACGCCGCCGCCGUAAGCCUAAGGGUUCCUGGGCAAGGCUAAUCCUCCCAGGGUCAGUCGGGAGCUAAGGCGAGGCCGAGAGGCGUAGCCGAUGCGCAACAGGCGGACAUUCCUGUACCGCCUGCGGACCGCUAUCACCGACGGGGUGACGGAGAAGGGUAGCCGAGCGGGGUUCUGGACGUCCCCGUGAAAGCGCGUAGGG
rnacentral:rRNA from 1 species